GACGAACGCUGGCGGCGUGCCUAAUACAUGCAAGUCGAGCGGUCCCUUCGGGGAUAGCGGCGGACGGGUGAGUAACACGUAGGCAACCUGCCCACAAGACUGGGAUAACCUUCGGAAACGAAAGCUAAGACCGGAUAAGCAAGAGAGGGGCAUCUCUUUCUUGAGAAACACGGAGCAAUCUGUGGCUUGUGGAUGGGCCUGCGGCGCAUUAGCUAGUUGGUGAGGUAACGGCCCACCAAGGCGACGAUGCGUAGCCGACCUGAGAGGGUGAACGGCCACACUGGGACUGAGACACGGCCCAGACUCCUACGGGAGGCAGCAGUAGGGAAUCUUCCACAAUGGGCGAAAGCCUGAUGGAGCAACGCCGCGUGAGUGAGGAAGGCCUUCGGGUCGUAAAGCUCUGUUGCCAGGGAAGAAUAAGGAUGAAGUAACUACUCAUCCGAUGACGGUACCUGAGAAGAAAGCCCCGGCUAACUACGUGCCAGCCGCCGCCGUAACAC
rnacentral:rRNA from 1 species